UACGUAGGGUGCGAGCGUUAAUCGGAAUUACUGGGCGUAAAGUGUGCGCAGGCGGCCGCGCAAGUCGAGUGUGAAAUCCCCGAGCUUAACUUGGGAAUUGCGCUCGAAACUACGUGGCUGGAGUGUGGCAGAGGAAGGUGGAAUUCCAGGUGUAGCGGUGAAAUGCGUAGAGAUCUGGAGGAACACCGAUGGCGAAGGCAGCCUUCUGGGCCAACACUGACGCUCAUGCACGAAAGCGUGGGGAGCAAACAGG
rnacentral:rRNA from 1 species